CCCUUAGAUGUUCUGGGCCGCACACGCGCUACACUGAAGGAGGCAGCGUGUACUCCUGGAUCGAAAGAUUUGGGUAACCCGCGAAUCUCCUUCGUGCUAGGGAUUGAGGUUUGCAAUUAUCCUUCAUGAACGAGGAAUUCCCAGUAAGUGCAAGUCAUAAGCUUGCGCUGACUACGUCCCUGCCCUUUGUACACACCGCCCGUCGCUACUACCGAUUGAAUGAUUUAGUGAGGACUUCGGACUGGGACCGAUGCGGCGUUCGGGCUGCGUCGGUAUUCUGGAAAGAUGUCCAAACUGUAUCAUUUAGAGGAAGUAAAAGUCGUAACA
rnacentral:rRNA from 1 species